rnacentral:tRNA from 1 species
UUCCUGGUGACUCAGUGGUAAAGAAUCUGCCUGUAAUGCAGUCAACCUGGGUUUGAUCUCUCGGUCAGGAAG